GAUGAAGAACGCAGCGAAAUGCGAUACUUGGUGUGAAUUGCAGAAUCCCGUGAACCAUCGAGUCUUUGAACGCAAGUUGCGCCCGAAGCCAUUAGGCCGAGGGCACGCCUGCCUGGGCGUCACACGUCGUUGCCCCCCCAUCUACUCCUUCGGGAUUGCGGGGGGCGGAUGAUGGCCUCCCGUGCGCCUCGCCGCGCGGUUGGCAUAAAUGCCAAGUCCUCGGCGACGCACGCCACGACAAUCGGUGGUUGCGAAACCUCGGUUGCCCGUCGUGUGCGGUCGUCGCGCAUCGAGGGCUCGAAAAAAUUGCCGGGUUCCGGCUCGGCUUUCAACGCGACCCCAGGUCAGGCGGGGUACCCGCUGAAUUUAAGCAUAUCAAUAAGCGGAGGA
rnacentral:misc_RNA from 1 species